CUCAUAGCGUAUAUUUAAGUUGUUGCAGUUAAAAAGCUCGUAGUCGGAUUUUGGCUGAGAACGGUCGGUCCGCCGUUAGGUGUGCACUGACUGGUCUCAGCUUCCUGGUGAGGAGGUGUGCUUCAUCGCCACUUAGUCACCGUGGUUACUUUGAAAAAAUUAGAGUGUUCAAAGCGGGCUUACGCUUGAAUAUAUUAGCAUGGAAUAACACCAUAGGACUCCUGUCCUAUUUCGUUGGUCUCGGGACGGGAGUAAUGAUUAAGAGGAACAGUUGGGGGCAUUCGUAUUUCAUUGUCAGAGGUGAAAUUCUUGGAUUUAUGAAAGACGAACUUCUGCGAAAGCAUUUGCCAAGGAUGUUUUCAUUGAUCAAGAACGAAAGUUGGGGGCUCGAAGAUGAUUAGAUACCAUCCUAGUCUCAACCAUAAACGAUGCCGACUAGGGAUUGGCGGAUGUUAAUUGAUGACUUCGCCAGCACCUUAUGAGAAAUCAAAGUUUUUGGGUUCCGGGGGGAGUAUGGUCGCAAGGCUGAAACUUAAAGGAAUUGACGGAAGGGCACCACCAGGCGUGGAGCCUGCGGCUUAAUUUGACUCAACACGGGGAAACUUACCAG
rnacentral:rRNA from 1 species